GGAGAGCUGGCCGAGUGGUCGAAGGCACCUGACUCGAAAUCAGGCGUACCGGCAACGGUACCGUAGGUUCGAAUCCUACGCUCUCCGCUC
rnacentral:tRNA from 1 species